GGGAAUGUGGCUCAGUUGGUAGAGUGCUUGCCUAGUAUGCAUGAAGCUCUGGGUUAGAGUCCUCAGUACCA
rnacentral:tRNA from 1 species